AGUAAAAAGAGAAACCGGCAAUGAUUAAGCCCAAGAAGCUUUCUCUUUCUUUUUUUUUUUCGAAAUAAAACGAAAAUUGAAAAACAAUAAUAUUUUCAAACGUGUUUUAAAAUAUUAAUUUUUAAAAAUAGAAAAAUAAAAUUAUUAAUUAUGCAGCAAUUAAAAUGUAAUUUUUCCUUCUCUGUUUUUGAGGUAGUCUAAAUGUGCAAAAACAGCGGGCCUUCCUAUCUCUUUCAUUUCACAGCAGCCCUAGCCGCCCAUCUGAGUCAUUUUACAAUUGCCUUAGCCGCACACCCGACUUCUUCCCUCAAUCCUUCGGUUUCUUCUUGGGUGUUCCUUCUUCGGUCGUUCCUAGGUUCCAGCAUUUCUCAUUCGACACACAGAUCUGCCGCGAUCUCACUUCUCAGACUACAUUUUUUCUUUGGCUUGUUCUCUUACGCAUUAUCAGCAGAUCGAAGUGUAAUGAGUUCACUUGGAUAUGAUGGUUGGGUGGUAGUUUCAAGUUUGAUAUACAAUCACUCUUUUUCAGUGGAUGUUGAAUUCUAAACCUAUUGUAGGCCUGUAGUAAAUACCUUAGGUCCCUAUAAGCUUAAUUGGGUUUCAGUUACUUUUUUAUGAUAGUGUAGUAUUUGGCUGUUUAAAGAUAUGUUAAGUGUUGAAUUACAUUGAUAUUUAAUUGGUCUCUAUGUUCCCUGUUUUUUAUCAUGCAAAAUUAUUAUUCUCUAAAGAUAAGAAAAAUAGCAGAUCAGUUGGUUGGUGAGUUGUUCUAUAACAAAUCUGGAGCUUGGGAUUCUUGUUGAUAUAAGUUGCUUUAUUUUCAGAAAAUAUUAGCUAUUGUGAAAUGGUAGUUUUUUUCCCUUGUAACAUCAUAAAAACAACAUAAUUUUUGGGGGCCAUUUGACUUUAUGUAGGAUGAGGUGGUUGAUAUUUUGGUUUGCUACAUUUAUUCGACUGUUUCUGAUUCGUAAAAGGGUCGAGUAUUGUAUGUUUUUUGAAUCAAAUCGUAUAGGUCAGAUACAACUCUUUGGCUUGGGUGUGUUUAUUUUGCAAAAGAUAAUUUCUUUAAGUUAAGUAUAGGUUUCUUUUAAGUUUCUUUAAGUCACACUUAUAGAUUUGAUUGGUUACAAGCUUUCUAUGGGACAAAGAGAAAGAAAAAUAAGUACAAUAAUAUAUUGUAUUUCAGUCUUCAAUAGGAAAUGGUAGGAUACAAUUAACUUUUAUAAUUUGUUUGUUAUUGUUAAAAGACAAAGAGGGUAUUCAAGAAGUCAUACUACCUUAGUGGUUUGGAACUCUUCUACAUUCAAUUUUCAAGUAUUAUUGAUAUAUUUUUCUUGUGGGUUUAAA